GCCUUCGUGGCUCAGCUGGUUAGAGCGCCGGUCUCAUAUUCCCUUCCGAUAACAAUGUGAUCAUCUGCUCAGAUGAGUCAUCCGGAGAUCGCCAGUUCGAUCCUGGCCGAGGGCA
rnacentral:tRNA from 1 species